AUUAGACUAAAAAUUAUGCACGAAAAAAUUCCCCUCUUCCCUCGCCUUUUCCUUUUUCAAAGGGUACGAUUUCCCUUAUCCACAAUUCUCAUUCAACUUGCGCUUUUCAUCGUCCUCUUCACAUCAGGGCAAAAGUGCAAUCGGGACAACGAAGGAUCUAAGAUGGAAUCCCAAGGUCUCGCUAAGCAGUAGAUCAUUUUAUCAGAUGAUCGAAGUUGGAGGGCUCUUGGAAUUUCAUGGUCGAGAUGCUCAUCGUGGUCAGGGCCUCAGUUCGGAUCGUGACAAAUACACAUAAUAAGUGCUCGAGCACAACAAUAUGGAGCGUGAGACGCGUGGAUACAACCACAUUAUCAAGUGAUAUUAAUACAAAGCAAUAAGCAACUACUUAACACUUUUGUAUAUUUGCUUAAUUAUCACGGAGCUACCUACUAUAUUAUGUAAUGUUUUAAGUCAUCAUAUAUGUAGUUAUAUAACUUUAGUUUGAUGGGGAUCUGAAUUGGUAAUAUUUACUUUUAUGGAUAUUGAUAUUGAAGUU